AGAGUUUGAUCAUGGCUCAGAUUGAGCGCUGGCGGCAGGCCUAACACAUGCAAGUCGAACGGUAACAGGAAACAGCUUGCUGUUUCGCUGACGAGUGGCGGUCGGGUGAGUAAUGUCUGGGAAACUGCCUGAUGGAGGGGGAUAACUACUGGAAACGGUAGCUAAUACCGCAUAACGUCGCAAGACCAAAGAGGGGGACCUUCGGGCCUCUUGCCAUCAGAUGUGCCCAGAUGGGAUUAGCUAGUAGGUGGGGUAACGGCUCACCUAGGCGACGAUCCCUAGCUGGUCUGAGAGGAUGACCAGCCACACUGGAACUGAGACACGGUCCAGACUCCUACGGGAGGCAGCAGUGGGGAAUAUUGCACAAUGGGCGCAAGCCUGAUGCAGCCAUGCCGCGUGUAUGAAGAAGGCCUUCGGGUUGUAAAGUACUUUCAGCGGGGAGGAAGGGAGUAAAGUUAAUACCUUUGCUCAUUGACGUUACCCGCAGAAGAAGCACCGGCUAACUCCGUGCCAGCAGCCGCGGUAAUACGGAGGGUGCAAGCGUUAAUCGGAAUUACUGGGCGUAAAGCGCACGCAGGCGGUUUGUUAAGUCAGAUGUGAAAUCCCCGGGCUCAACCUGGGAACUGCAUCUGAUACUGGCAAGCUUGAGUCUCGUAGAGGGGGGUAGAAUUCCAGGUGUAGCGGUGAAAUGCGUAGAGAUCUGGAGGAAUACCGGUGGCGAAGGCGGCCCCCUGGACGAAGACUGACGCUCAGGUGCGAAAGCGUGGGGAGCAAACAGGAUUAGAUACCCUGGUAGUCCACGCCGUAAACGAUGUCGACUUGGAGGUUGUGCCCUUGAGGCGUGGCUUCCGGAGCUAACGCGUUAAGUCGACCGCCUGGGGAGUACGGCCGCAAGGUUAAAACUCAAAUGAAUUGACGGGGGCCCGCACAAGCGGUGGAGCAUGUGGUUUAAUUCGAUGCAACGCGAAGAACCUUACCUGGUCUUGACAUCCACGGAAGUUUUCAGAGAUGAGAAUGUGCCUUCGGGAACCGUGAGACAGGUGCUGCAUGGCUGUCGUCAGCUCGUGUUGUGAAAUGUUGGGUUAAGUCCCGCAACGAGCGCAACCCUUAUCCUUUGUUGCCAGCGGUCCGGCCGGGAACUCAAAGGAGACUGCCAGUGAUAAACUGGAGGAAGGUGGGGAUGACGUCAAGUCAUCAUGGCCCUUACGACCAGGGCUACACACGUGCUACAAUGGCGCAUACAAAGAGAAGCGACCUCGCGAGAGCAAGCGGACCUCAUAAAGUGCGUCGUAGUCCGGAUUGGAGUCUGCAACUCGACUCCAUGAAGUCGGAAUCGCUAGUAAUCGUGGAUCAGAAUGCCACGGUGAAUACGUUCCCGGGCCUUGUACACACCGCCCGUCACACCAUGGGAGUGGGUUGCAAAAGAAGUAGGUAGCUUAACCUUCGGGAGGGCGCUUACCACUUUAUGAUUCAUGACUGGGGUGAAGUCGUAACAAGGUAACCGUAGGGGAACCUGCGGUUG
rnacentral:rRNA from 1 species